UGUAAAAAAUUACUCUUGAGGGUGUUAAAUACAACCCAUGAAAAUCAGUUAUAGUUUACUUAAGUAUAUGAGUUAGCAAAUAAAAUAAAAAAUAAUGGGUACAUUCUACCUCCACUAUCUAUUUCUUAUUAGUAUUAACUGCAAGACUAAAAAAUUAAGUAAAAUUUACCCCUAAAUAUUAGCUUUGGCACCGCAAAGUGCGCAUGCGUCAACAUCCAGGCGGGAAUCACGGGAGUCACCAUUUUCCAUGUCAUUGGCGGUGGCGGAACAUUGAUUGGUGAACCUACAGAUGAAUCUAGAAGAAGAAUUAAAGACUUCAUAGCAGUUAUCAAGACAAGUUAACUUCAGGUGGCCUGGAUUGUUCAGUAAGGCUCAGAUCAAAGAAGAAUUCCGACGUAUAACAACAGGCUCCUUGGAGACAUUUAUGAUGAAUCUUGAUGGGUGCACACCACGUCUUUCUGCAGUUACCAAGAUACAUCCUCUCCUGAGCACUGUAAAUGAGGAGGAUGAACUUGAAGGCCACACAAAUGAAAUAAUGAAGUUGGUGGUUAUUCACAAUCCCGCAGUUGAGGACCCACCAGAUGUGGAAUGAGCUGUCUGUACUUUUUUGCACUUAAAGGGUUAGUUCACCCAAAAAUGAAAAUAAUGUCAUUUAUUACUUACCCUCAUGCAGUUCCACACCCGUAAGACCUUCGUUAAUCUUCAGAACACUAAUUAAGGUA